UGGCUUUCAGACGAAAGGUGGAGGUGAGACGUAGAUGAUGGCCUAUUUCUUAUAUUCACCCCAUUCUUCAAAUUGUUUGAAAACUGGUCAAACUGGCAAACUACUUAAACAUAUCUAAACAAAUCACCAAAAUACUGCAGAGUGUUGUACAGCGGCUGAAUUACACAGCAGCUCUUUGUAUAUGUGACCUGUGUGUGAUGCCUGUGUCUCAAAGCUCGGGUCCAGAAAACAGAUUAAGUCCGCUUUCAAUAGGCAUUCUUCAUUUAAAAUAAUUUAUUCUUUGACCCUGGGAUUGAGCUUAAUCAGUGUCUGGGAAAAUGGCCCAAAGAGACUUUAACCACAGCACCAGUAGACGUGGUGACAAACAAGGACGAUGGGGAUUUGGCUUACUGGGCUUACGUGGCACGCUGCCAUGUGAGGGCAUUAAAGUACCACAGGGCGUUGCGUCGUUGGAGGGAAAGGGACAUUUUGCUUCGUUCCAUCCACUUCCAUCUAAAUUUCAACGAGGUGGAAGCCUGGGAUUGCCUGUGUGGACAGCAUAUCAUUGAUGGAGUGGUCAUACUGCUCAGCCAGGAUGGCCAGCUUACGGGUCUGCUCAUCCUUCAGCCGCUUCAGCACAGCCUUGUGGUCCGACUUGGGCGUGUUCUCCAGCAGGUGGUUGCGCAGGGCCUUGUACUGACGGGUCUGGAUCUUACACGUGUCCUGGAACUGCCUCUUGAUCUGUAGCUCUUUGGACUGGGGGAGACAAAGGAGAGACGGAACCAAAAGUGCUGCAAUGUUUGUGUAUGCGAGGCGAUGCACAUAUGCUGAAGAAAUAAAGUCUUGCUCAGAAAAUGA